GGCGGCAGGCCUAACACAUGCAAGUCGAACGGUAGCACAGAGGAGCUUGCUCCUUGGGUGACGAGUGGCGGACGGGUGAGUAAUGUCUGGGGAUCUGCCCGAUGGAGGGGGAUAACUACUGGAAACGGUAGCUAAUACCGCAUAACGUCGCAAGACCAAAGUGGGGGACCUUCGGGCCUCACACCAUCGGAUGAACCCAGAUGGGAUUAGCUAGUAGGUGGGGUAACGGCUCACCUAGGCGACGAUCCCUAGCUGGUCUGAGAGGAUGACCAGCCACACUGGAACUGAGACACGGUCCAGACUCCUACGGGAGGCAGCAGUGGGGAAUAUUGCACAAUGGGCGCAAGCCUGAUGCAGCCAUGCCGCGUGUAUGAAGAAGGCCUUCGGGUUGUAAAGUACUUUCAGCGGGGAGGAAGGCGGUGAGGUUAAUACCUCAUCGAUUGACGUUACCCGCAGAAGAAC
rnacentral:rRNA from 1 species